GGCCCGGCCGGCGGCGGGGAGGUCGCGGGGCCGGGAGGCGCGAGGUUGUUCGAGAAGCUGAAAUAGAAAUCAAUUUCUUGAUUUCAGUAGGAAUAGUGAGUCCCUAAGAGGGGAGAAGCCAGGAGAUACCCAUGCAAAAUAAACAACCCCAAACAGAUGCACAUAAGGCAAUUGUCCUCCAACUCAAUGUCCUGGCCUUCCCUGGAGAGCUGUGCUGAGCCAGGUGUUCUACAUAAAUUAUCUCAUUUGUUUUUUCUGACAACAUAAUAAGAAAAAGAAAAACAUCCAUUCAUGAGAGUUCAGGGAUACGUGAAAAUGAAGCAAAUGAGGAAAGACCCAUUCACAUUCCUCCAAAAGGAACUUGCUUUAUGGCCAUUUGUUCUAAUGAUCAGUUUGGACAACCAACCUUUAUUCCUCCACCUCAGACAAUAUUCAACAUCCUGUAAUCAUCAUAGCGCUUAAUUAUCCUCUGUGAUCCACACUAAAGUAUUUUGAAGAAUAACAAAGCUCUCCAAGGGUCUUAAUACAGGUAC
rnacentral:lncRNA from 1 species